GUGCUCACUUUGGCAGCACUAAUACUAAAAUUGGAAUGAUAUAGAAAAGAUUUGCAUGGCCUCUGUGCAAGGAUAACAUGCAAAUUCAUGAGGCAUACCAUUUUUUU